rnacentral:lncRNA from 1 species
GGUCUUUGUAGUUAAAUUAAGCUGUUGAAUUCUAGAGACACCUACUGUGUUCUAGGCCAAGUUUUGAGACACUGUGUGAUUUAGCAACAUUCUUGUUUUUCAGCAUUGCGUACAUUUCUGUGUUUUCUUUCUUCAUCAACAGAUUCUAUGGACAAUGCUAUUUUAGGUUUCAAACUCACAAAGUUUAAACACUCACCUUAAGAACUAUCUUCAAAGUUCUUAAAUACAUUUAAUACUCUUUUCUGAUUCUUCAUAAAAAUUUUGUAGUUCUGGAAUGAUUGGAAUUUGACUAAAAAUUUAAGCAGUCAGUAAGAGGUGGUGGAGGAAGAUGUAGAAGAAGAAGAGGAAGAGAAUGAAGGAAGAGGAGGAGGAGGAGGGAGAGGAGGAAGAGGAGGAGAAAACACAGACCUAUCUGGGAAAUUAGAAAGAAAGAGGCACCCUAUCUGCCCAGUGAAACUAUGCAGUGAAUAGAGCAAUGAAGAAAUGUUUCUUUGGAAGGAAGCGAUAAUGGAAGCACAUUAACAAAUAGAACAAAUGAAAUGAGAAAGAGUAAUACACAGACAUGUUUAUUUAAUGGAAUGAGCCUGCAAGAAAGGAAUAAUUGACAUCAACAUUCAAAUGAAGUUCAGUGCUAAUAGUAGAAAUGUUAUUUUCCAUAGAAAAGUAAGUUGGACUGAGAACGUGGACUCCAAUGGAGGAGUUAGAGAAAGGACUGAAAGGGCUGAAGUCAUUUGCAACCCCAUAGGAAGAACAAAUUAUCAACCACCAGAACCCCAAGAGCUCCCAUGGACUAAACCAUCAACCAAAGAGUAUACAUUGAGGAUGACCCAUGGCUCCAGACACAUAUGUAGCAGAGGAUAUCCUUGUUGUGCAUCCAUGGGAGGAGAGGUCCUUGGUCCUGUGAAGGCUUGA